GAUGAACGCUGGCGGCGUGCCUAAUACAUGCAAGUCGAGCGAACGGACGAGAAGCUUGCUUCUCUGAUGUUAGCGGCGGACGGGUGAGUAACACGUGGAUAACCUACCUAUAAGACUGGGAUAACUUCGGGAAACCGGAGCUAAUACCGGAUAAUAUUUUGAACCGCAUGGUUCAAAAGUGAAAGACGGUCUUGCUGUCACUUAUAGAUGGAUCCGCGCUGCAUUAGCUAGUUGGUUAGGUAACGGCUUACCAAGGCAACGAUGCAUAGCCGACCUGAGAGGGUGAUCGCACACACUGGAACUGAGACACGGUCCAGACUCCUACGGGAGGCAGCAGUAGGGAAUCUUCCGCAAUGGGCGAAAGCCUGACGUAGCAACGCCGCGUGAGUGAUGAAGGUCUUCGGAUCGUAAAACUCUGUUAUUCGGGAAGAACAUAAGUGUAAGUAACUGUGCACAUCUUGACGGUACCUAAUCAGAAAGCCACGGCUAACUCCGUG
rnacentral:rRNA from 1 species